UACAGGGGGUGCAAACGUUGCUCGGAAUCAUUGGGCGUAAAGCGCACGUAGGCGGUCUGUUAUGUCGGAUGUGAAAGCCCUUGGCUCAACUGAGGAAGUGCAUCCGAAACUGGCAGGCUAGAGUACUAAAGAGGAUCGCGGAAUUCCCGGUGUAGAGGUGAAAUUCGUAGAUAUCGGGAGGAACACCGGUGGCGAAGGCGGUUCUCUGGGCCUUACCUGACGCUGAGGAGCGAAAGCGUGGGGAGCGAACAGG
rnacentral:rRNA from 1 species